rnacentral:lncRNA from 1 species
UCUUUUACAAAGCUAUAAGAUAUUUAAGUACCCGUUUUGUAAUUUUCCACUUAAACUGAUAUGUUUGAUGAACUUGGCAGUCUAACUGCAUUGGUUAAAAGGAUGCACAUUUAUAUUUCUAAAUGAAAUGGAAUACUGAAUUUAAAAGGUGAUGUUUUCUCUAUUAAGUAUGAAAAUAGAUACAAAUCUGGCCAGGCGCGGUGCUCACGCCUGUAGUCCCAGCGCUUUGGGAGGCCAAGGCGGGUGGAUCACAAGGUCAGGAGAUCGAGACCAUCCUGGCUAACAUGGUGAAACCCCAUCUCUACUAAAAAUACAAAAAAUUAGCCGGGCAUGGUGGCGGGCACCUAUAGUCCCAGCUACUCAGGAGGCUGAGGCAGGAGGAUGGCGUGAACCUGGGAGGCGGAGCUUGCAGUGAGCCAAGAUCGCGCCACUGCACUCCAGCCUGGGCGACAGAGCGAGACUGUCUGGGAAAAAAAAAAAAAAAGAUACAAAUCAAAGUACUGAAUCCUUGGUAACGAGACAUUUAAAACACAUGCACAUACCCACUACUUAAACAUACUUUGAAAUUACAACCAUUUGGGGAUGUUUUUAGCAUUUGUGCUUGAAGUAGAUCAAUAUUUGUAGUUGUUUUAGUUCCAUUUGUCACUGUUAACUUUCAUUUGUACCUCUGGAAUUAGCAGUGCUGUAUUCAGCAUUGGCACUUAAAAUAUUUUAUAGCUCUUAGAACACUAUUUUUUAAAUUACAUUGAUCUUUAUACUCUCCUAGGAUUCCAGUCCUUCCACAAAUUAUUAUAUGCAGUUUUCUUUAUACUGUUCCAUUCUUCAGACAGAGUUCAGGUUGUAGGAUCAUCUGAAUUUUCUUAGUGAAAUACAAGCCAGUAGAAACCAAAGCUCGUGUUUUUCUACUGUAUGACUAUGGGAGCUCUCAGUAUAGAGAAACUUGAUCAUACCUGUGAUAGAUAUAAAGAUGUAAAUUAAAGUCUAGUUAGUGAGUUAUUUGAGGGUAAAGCCAGAAUAGGAAAACAUUUUGUUUCUCUUUUCCUGGGCUUCACAAUCUUUGGAGAAUAACUAAUUUUAUUUUAACUCUAGUGUUAGAGGCAUGUAUGUCUUCUGGUAAUCAGUAAUAGUAAUUCAUUUUACCUGUUUGUUUCUCACUGUUUUAUUCUACUUAGAAGAAGACAUGAUAGGAUUGUGAGUUUUUCUCUAACUUUGGAUGCAGUGAGAUGACCAGUGUGUUCCAGUUAAAGAAGAAGAGUGUUUUAAAAUCAUAAACCAAAUAAAGAAUCCUACCU